rnacentral:tRNA from 1 species
GGAGGGGCUAUAGCUCAGUGAGAAAAAGCAUCUGUUUGGCAUGCAGAAGGUUCCAGGUUCAGUCCCUAGCGUCUCCA